GGUAACUUUUCGCCUUUGUCUUGUUCAUGUGCUGAUAUUCACUUAGGAUCUAGCACAGUGCCUGAAACAUAGUAGGUGUUCAAUAAAUACCCCUUUUCUUUUUCUUUUUCUUUCUUUUUUUUGAGACAGGGUCUCACUCUGUUACCCAGGCUGGAGUGCAGUGGUGUGAUUAUAGCUCACUGCAGCCUUGAACUCCUAGGCUCAAUGCCCCUACCUCAGCCUCCCAAGUAGCUAGGACCACAGGCACAUACCACCAUGCCCAGCUAAUUUUUUAUUUUUUGUAGAGAUGGGGUCUCGCUAUGUUGCCCAGGCUAGCCUUAAGCUCCUGGCCUCAAGUGAUCCUCCCACCUCUGCCUCCCAAAGUGCCGAGAUUACAGGCGUGAGCCACCAGGUCUGGCAAUAAAUAUCUCUUGAAUGGAUGAAUGAAUGCAUGUCCUCAUCCAGCCAAGGUGAAUGUAGACGGUUGUGCUUUUUGGGUACUUAGAAAGCAAAUAGAUAAUGUUCUUUAAAUCUUUGGAAAGGCUGAACAGGCUCUUUUAUUCUGGGAUAUGAAUAGGCAAAAAUUGGGAAAGACAAAAUUACAAGAUGUUUGGGCUAUUUUCAGCUGGUACAGCCUCUGUGUAUAAAGAACACCCCAGUGGUUCAUGAUGAAAGAUCAAACUUACCCUUGUUCCUGAGCCCCAUGAGAAAGACAGCUAGUGCCCAUAUAUAAAUACCACAUUGUCUGCAAUGACAAUGACCAUGUUACCACUACCCUUUAAUUUAUUCAUUCUAAAUGUCUGGACCCAACAAGAGAAAGAGGCAUUCCACAAUUCCUGUGGGACUCACACACACGUGAGCCCAGUGAAGGGUCUUAGGAGGUCGAGGUUACUCAUUCGAUGGCUCAGACCGUGAGCAAAAAGAUUGCCCCUAUUUAGAACA
rnacentral:lncRNA from 1 species